ensembl:lncRNA
ACACAAUGAGAACAUGUCCUGAAUCAACAGGUGUGAAGCUUGCAUAUGGCGUCUGACCUAAAGAGAUGAAGAAGUACCCUGAGGUACAGUCAGUGUUGCCAUUGAUGCACCUUGUGCUAUGCUUACCUGCCACAGUGCGUUUCAGAAGAUCUCCUCACAGGCCUAAGGAGCUGCAGGAAAUUGUUGGUGUGCUGCAGCAUGGCAAACUGCUUUCUUCACUUCCUUCCUUGCACUGUUGUGUAAAGCUGUGGUCAACAGAAGAAAAACAGAAUGCAUAUUCUUUCAUCCUUCUUUCAAAAGGCCUCACUGGAUUUGUUCCUCAAUGCAGCAGGACUGUGCUUUGGUUACACUGCCUCAGUACCGCUCCUGGUACUCAGCACCCCAGGAGGGGAGAUACAGCCAUCCCGUCCACCCUCCAGCCUUCCCUGGGAUGGAUAUCAGAAAGGCAGGUUUCAGAAGGGAUGGAAAAAGCAAGCCAUCGGCUCACAUGGGGAUUUCUUGUGUCAGAUGUGCCUGCAACAGAGGAACUCAGAUAUCACGGGGCUCAGCUCCACAAUGCUAGUGGGCUUGUGGGUCUAGGAACAUCCAGGAUAAGAGCUUUGUUCCUUUGUGGAAUGUGUACACCUGUACAAACGGGGCAACUUAAGAACAGCUACUUUUACAGUAUUUACACUUUUGAGAACUAAUUUGUUCUGUUAUGCUUAAAAGCCAGCUUGGUUCUCUUGAGCAGCAAAAUGCCCUCUGGCUGAAAUGCUGGACUGUACGCAGAGAUAAUGGACUAAUUUACUGACAGGAUGGACUAAUGUUUAAAAAUUGAUCUUAAAUAAUGUAAUCAAGUUAACUGACACGAG